UAUAAUUUCAGAGUGGAUGGGCUACAUGCUUUUGUAUGAGAGCAUGCUGGGAAGUGUUAUCACUGCCAGGGAUCGCUGGCUAAAAUGCGGAGGUAUUAUUCUUCCAUCAAAUGCAACGUUGUACAUGGCACCUGUCACACAUCCUGACAGAUACAGUGAAANNNNNNNNNNCGCAAUGUUUAUGGAAUUGAUAUGUCUGCCAUGAUGCCAUUAGCAAAACAGUGUGCAUUUGAAGAACCAUCUGUGGAGACAAUAUCGGGUGAGAAUGUUUUGACAUGGCCACACAUGGUUAAGCAUGUGGACUGCUACACAAUUCAAGUUCAUGAGCUAGAAUCUGUUACAACAAGAUAUAAGUUCAAGUCUAUGAUGAGAGCUCCAUUGCAUGGGUUUGCAUUUUGGUUUGAUGUUGAAUUCAGUGGGCCGGCAACAUCUCCUAUAAAUACUAUUGCAAAUGAUCCUCCUGUUGAUGGAGUUCAGAAUAAGAAAAGGACAAAUCCAAAUGAUGCACUUGUGCUGUCUACUGCGCCUGAGGACCCUCCAACACACUGGCAGCAGACAGUGAUAUACUUCUAUGAUCCAGUAGAAGUGGAGCAAGAUCAACUGAUUGAAGGUUUAGUGACACUAUCACAAAGCAAAGAAAACCGUAGAUUCAUGAAUAUUCACCUUGAAUACACUUCUGGUGGUCGGUCCUUUGUAAAAGAGUCAGUAAUGAGGUGAUCUCCUUAGGAGUCAAAAGUCAUGACCACUUUUACAAGGUUCAACAAUGAAUCCCAGGAUAUGAUAAUUUUCAAGUCUUACCAUUUUGCAUUGCUCAAUGUGUGGCAAUCUUGCUGGCAAAACCCUGCGAACUUGGACUCUUCUGAUGACUACGCAGAUUCAUGGCUCUUACUAAUUGUUACCUUUGAAAAAUGAAACUGUUAAAAAAAUAGAAACAGGUGAAACAACUGUGAAAAAUAGAUUUUGACCCUAUUAAUGGCCUGAGAUUGCUGUUUUAAGUCAGAG
rnacentral:misc_RNA from 1 species